AUGGCAUACAAAAAGUUGAGGGACUUAAAUACAACGGGGCAGAACUGGAACAUUCAAGUGAAAGUAAUGAGGAUUUGGGAUUCAGUUAAUCCUACGACCGAUGAGCUUAUUAGCCUAGAUAUGAUACUCAUGGAUGAGCAGGGUGAAACAAAUGAUGCUACUAUCUGGAAGAAUCUAAUAGACACUUUUAGAUCAAAGAUCAAUGAGAGGUCUAUUUAUGGAUUCAACAAUUUUAAGGUUGUCGAAUCCACAAAAUAUAGGCCAGGAGUCAACACAAGUAAUCUUACCCAAAAUGAGGAGUAUAGAUAG
rnacentral:rRNA from 1 species